CAUGGCUCAGAUUGAACGCUGGCGGCAGGCCUAACACAUGCAAGUCGAACGGUAACAGGAAGCAGCUUGCUGCUUUGCUGACGAGUGGCGGACGGGUGAGUAAUGUCUGGGAAACUGCCUGAUGGAGGGGGAUAACUACUGGAAACGGUGGCUAAUACCGCAUAACGUCGCAAGACCAAAGAGGGGGACCUUCGGGCCUCUUGCCAUCAGAUGUGCCCAGAUGGGAUUAGCUUGUUGGUGAGGUAACGGCUCACCAAGGCGACGAUCCCUAGCUGGUCUGAGAGGAUGACCAGCCACACUGGAACUGAGACACGGUCCAGACUCCUACGGGAGGCAGCAGUGGGGAAUAUUGCACAAUGGGCGCAAGCCUGAUGCAGCCAUGCCGCGUGUAUGAAGAAGGCCUUCGGGUUGUAAAGUACUUUCAGCGGGGAGGAAGGUGUUGUGGUUAAUAACCGCAGCAAUUGACGUUACCCGCAGAAGAAGCACCGGCUAACUCCGUGCCAGCAGCCGCGGUAAUACGGAGGGUGCAAGCGUUAAUCGGAAUUACUGGGCGUAAAGCGCACGCAGGCGGUCUGUCAAGUCGGAUGUGAAAUCCCCGGGCUCAACCUGGGAACUGCAUUCGAAACUGGCAGGCUUGAGUCUUGUAGAGGGGGGUAGAAUUCCAGGUGUAGCGGUGAAAUGCGUAGAGAUCUGGAGGAAUACCGGUGGCGAAGGCGGCCCCCUGGACAAAGACUGACGCUCAGGUGCGAAAGCGUGGGGAGCAAACAGGAUUAGAUACCCUGGUAGUCCACGCCGUAAACGAUGUCUACUUGGAGGUUGUGCCCUUGAGGCGUGGCUUCCGGAGCUAACGCGUUAAGUAGACCGCCUGGGGAGUACGGCCGCAAGGUUAAAACUCAAAUGAAUUGACGGGGGCCCGCACAAGCGGUGGAGCAUGUGGUUUAAUUCGAUGCAACGCGAAGAACCUUACCUGGUCUUGACAUCCACAGAACUUUCCAGAGAUGGAUUGGUGCCUUCGGGAACUGUGAGACAGGUGCUGCAUGGCUGUCGUCAGCUCGUGUUGUGAAAUGUUGGGUUAAGUCCCGCAACGAGCGCAACCCUUAUCCUUUGUUGCC
rnacentral:rRNA from 1 species